rnacentral:rRNA from 1 species
UACGUAGGGUGCGAGCGUUGUCCGGAAUUACUGGGCGUAAAGAGCUCGUAGGUGGUUUGUCGCGUUGUUCGUGAAAACUCACAGCUUAACUGUGGGCGUGCGGGCGAUACGGGCAGACUGGAGUACUGCAGGGGAGACUGGAAUUCCUGGUGUAGCGGUGGAAUGCGCAGAUAUCAGGAGGAACACCGGUGGCGAAGGCGGCUUUCUGGACGACAACUGACGCUGAGACGCGAAAGCGUGGGGAGCAAACAGG